GUAGGUGGCAAGCGUUGUCCGGAAUUAUUGGGCGUAAAGCGCGCGCAGGUGGUUCUUUAAGUCUGAUGUGAAAGCCCCCCGGGCUCAACCGGGGAGGGUCAUUGGAGACUGGGGAACUUGAGUGCAGGAGAGGAAAGUGGAAUUCCACGUGUAGCGGUGAAAUGCGUAGAUAUGUGGAGGAACACCAGUGGCGAAGGCGACUUUCUGGCCUGUAACUGACACUGAGGCGCGAAAGCGUGGGGAGCAAACAGGAUUAGAUACCCUGGUAGUCCACGCCGUAAACGAUGAGUGCUAAGUGUUGGGGGGUUUCCGCCCCUCAGUGCUGCAGCUAACGCAUUAAGCACUCCGCCUGGGGAGUACGGUCGCAAGACUG
rnacentral:rRNA from 1 species